GUUCCUGAGUCCUGGUUCCCGGGUGUUGGUCCCCAGGAGCUGGAUCCUGACUCCUGGUUCCCGAGUCCUGGUUCCCAGGCGCUGGAUCUCGGACACUGGUUCCCGGACGCUGGCUCCUGAGUCCUGGUCCCGGGUGCUGGUUCCCGAGUCCUAGUUCUUGGGUGCUGGUUCCCGAGUGCAGCUUCCUGAGUCCUGGUUCCCGGGUGCUGGUCCCCGGGAGCUGGAUCCCCACUCUUGGUUCCCGGGUGCUGGAUCCCAAGUCCUGGUUCCGGAGUGCUGGUUCCCAAGUCCUGGUUCCUGAGUGCUGGUUCCUGAGUCCUGGUUCCCGGGUGCUGGUUCCCAAGUCCUGGUUCCCGGGUGCUGGUUCCCAAGUCCUGGUUCCUAGGGCUGGUUCCCGAGUCCUGGUUCCCGGGUGCUGGUUCCCAAGUCCUGGUUCCCGGGUGCUGGUUCCCAGGCGCUGGUUCCCAAGUCCUGGUUCCUGAGUGCUGGUUCCCGAGUCCUGGUUCCCGGGUGCUGGUUCCCGGGUGCUGGUUCCCGGGUGCUGGUUCCCGGGUGCUGGUUCCUGGGGACUGGUUCCUGGGCGCUGGUUCCUGAGUCCUGGUUCCUGGGUGUUGGUCCCCGGGAGCUGGAUCCCCACUCCUGGUUCCCGGGCACUGGUUCCCAAGUCCUGGUUCUCAGGUGCUGGAUCCCGAGUCCUGCUUCCUGAGUGCUGGUUCCCAAGUCCUGGUUCCCGGGCACUGGUUCCCUAGUCCUGGUUCCUGGGUGCUGGAUCCCGAGUCAUGGUUCCUGAGGGCUGGUUCCCAAGUCCUGGUUCCCGGGCACUGGUUCCCUAGUCCUGGUUCCUGGGUGCUGGAUCCCGAGUCAUGGUUCCUGAGGGCUGGUUCCCAAGUCCUGGUUCCUGGGGGCUGGUUCCGGGCGCUGCUCCUGAGUCCUGGUUCCUGGGCACUGGUUCCCGAGUCCUGGUUCCUGAGGGCUGGUUCCUGAGUCCUGGUUCCUGGGAGCUGGUUCCUGGGCGCUGAUUCCUGAGUCCUGGUGCCUGGGCGCUGGUUCCCAAGUCCUGGUUCCUGGGUGCUGGUUCCCGAGUGCAGGUUCCUGAGUCCUGGUUCCUGGGGGCUGGCUCCUGAGUCCUGGUUCCCGGGUGUUGGUCCCUGGGAGCUGGAUCCUGACUCCUGGUUCCCGGGCGCUGGUUCCCAGGUGCUGGAUCCCGAGUCCUGGUUCCCGGGCACUGGUUCCCGAGUCGUUCCUGGGUGCUGAUUCCUGAGCGCUGGCUCCUGAGUCCUGGUUCCCCGGGCGCUGGUCCCCGGGAGCUGGAUAUCCACUCUGGGUUCCCAGGCGCUGGUUCCUGAGUCCUGGUUCUCAGGUGUUGGAUCCCGAGUCCCGGUUCCUGAGUGCUGGUUCCCAAGUCCUGGUUCCCAGGCGCUGGUUCCCUAGUCCUGGUUCCUGGGUGCUGGAUCCCGAGUCUGGUUCCUGGGUGCUGGAUCC
rnacentral:lncRNA from 12 species